GAGGACACUGGAGACUGGAGAGACAUCUCCAUCUAUCUAAUCCUCAAAAGCAUUAAUGCUUAAAGUUAAACCACACAGCCUGUUUCUCCCUAUAGGUGCAGUUUGGACUCUGUGGACAAGAGAGAGUUGUGAGAGGGAAGAGUGCCCUAUUUAAACAGAUCCACUCAUAUCCCCUCUUUGCAACAUCUGAAAGAUCUCCUGCGGAAAGAAAAGAAAAUAUCUCUCUCUCUCUCUUUCUCUCUCUCUGAUUUGCUAGAUUUGUAGAAAUAUUCAGUCGUUGUCCUGUCUCUGACUCUCAUGACGAAAAUGACACAUCCUCGCCCUCUGUUUAAAACAACUUCUCUUCCGUGAUUUGUGCAAGUCUCUUUUUAUUUAUUUUUUAAAUAAAUUUUCUUAUACCAUUAGUGCUAUUCUUAUGCACCAUCUUUUGUUCAAUGUGGAUCUGUCUUCACCCAUCUAGUGCAGGUAAGGGCAAAAAGUGAACAAAUAGGAAUUUGGGUUUGUAAAGGUGGAAUUUUGGGCAUCAUCAUCAGUCGAGAAUUAGGGUUUCUAUAACUGGAAACACUAGCAGCACGAGAUGUAAGCCACCGUUACUCCUCUCUCCUUCUUUCUUCUUUUCUCUUUUCCGAGUUGCCCUAUGAGAAGAAUUUACGUAAAGUUCUUUUCUUUUUUCAUUUUCACCUUGAUCUGGUUUUCUUUUGCUGUUUUUCCUUCUUCUUUCUUCGUUUCUUUUCCUAAUAUUUUGCUUAAAUCUAUUUGUUUGUUUGGGCUUCGAUUCUAGUAACGCCUUCUACGUGAUAGUUUUUCUUCGUCCUUUUGGGUUUUGGUUGAGAUCACACUACUCCCUCUUUUUCUUUUGUUAUUGGUUAGAGGGGAAACGAUUUCCCUUGGUUGGUUUUACGUGACUUCGGUUCUUAUAGAUCUGCGUGAUUCGAUCUGAUUUCUUUCUGUUACCAUUCUUUUCUUUUGAGUGUUUUCUUUGCUUUUGUUUUGGGAGGGUGUGAUGGCGGUGGAUUUGAUCCGGUGAUUGUUAACCAAUGUUCAAAUGAGUAAUAGGUUUCUUUUUUUUUUUCCAACUUUGUUUAUUUAUUUAUUUUUCGUUUAAUUGUGAUAUAAAGAAGUUCUCAUAGUUUUCUUUGCUAAGUAAGAUGUCUUUAUUUGGAUUGAGGUUUACAUAAAUUAGGGUUAGGGUUCAUGACAACAUCCUUUAGCUUAUUUUAACACAGAUACUGUAUUAGGGCCUUCAAAAUGGAUCAUCAGUUUUAGUUAAUGUUUGAGGAUUUGCAAAUAAUUUAAGAUUACUCGUGAUGUUCCUCUCCUACUGAAAAUAUUAGAUUUGAUUGCAUCAGAGUCCAGAAUAUACAACAUACAUGAUAGUUAUCUUUGAUGUUUGAAAUUCUUACAAGGUGAUCUUCAAAGAAGGGGAGGAUGACAAGGUGAUAUACUUCUUUUCCCCCCUUUCGCUGGAAAUAUGAUGCUUGUAAAUCGUUUUGAUUGCAUAAGAGGCCAUUCUGUGGUCUUGAUUUAUUUCUGAAGCUUGGAUUGGUAUUUAGAUCAGUGCUCAUAAGAAGAAAAUCGAAGCUUUUUUUUUUUUCUUAUGUUUCUUCUGUUUAAUAUUUUAACUCUGAGAGGAAAGUAGAAAUAAUGACUCAAGCACUUCUCAAAAUAAUGAUGGUGAUGAUGAUAUAAGCUUCAAACCUAGGAAAUGGAAUAUUAUCAGCAGUGGUAGAUAUAAUAAGUUAACUAUGGUGAUUAUUUGUUCAUGCUUUGAUACACGAUGUUGUUGAUUUUUUUUGGUUGGGGUUGCACUGAUAGGUUUACCAAGUUUUGCUGCUUUAGAAAAUGCACCAUGUAAGUUCUUAAAUUGUUGCUCCCUUCGUUCUUUUUCUUCUCUUUUGGUAGCAAGGUUCUAAUCUUGUAACUUUCUUUCCAUUUGUAUUUUAAUGGCUGGAGUUGGAUUUUCCUUGUCUAUACGAUUAGGAAAUAAUUACCAUGAUCAUUUGAUUUUCCCUUGUUACAAAAUAAAAAUCAUCUUUUAAAAAAAAGUUCCAUUGUGUGUUGAUUUUCUCUUCUGGAUUAUCAAGUUAAUGGUGUGUAUUUGUUUUUCUGGACAGAUGAACCCUUCAUGUAAGAAAGACUUAAGAGUAGUAUGCAGCACUGAGAAACGGCUUGAGAGAGCUUUCUUCAGUCCACUCAUGGAUGGGCUAAGGUGUUGAAUUAGCUGCCGACUCAUUCAUUCAAACACUCAGUAGAAAGGGGAUAUUUUUUACUACUGUGAAUGUGUGAAUGAUGCGGGAGAUAAUUGCCAUUCUUCCUCCUCUAUGCUUGGACUGAAGGGAGCUCCCUUUUUCUGUUUCUUUCAUUCCUCUCUCUCUGAGCUUCUUAUCUAACCGGAAAAUCUUUUGACACUUGUCUGUUUCUUGAUUUCUUCAGUUAGGUUAUCUACUUGAAUGAUCUUUACACUUUUCCGUAGUUUCAACUUUCAAGCUUCACAAGCUGCCGCUGUCGGUUCCGCUGCCCCCGCCGCGGCCUCAUCCAGUUUCUUAUCAUCUGCACUGCUUCUAAAGUUAAUUAUCUGUUUAUUUUCUUUGCCAGAGGCAUCUCUUAAUUAUAACUGAGCUACCGUUCGUUUCCAUUUUCGUUUUCUGUUAAUACCAUCUAUAAAGAAGAUUUUCUUAUGGAGAUUUUUUUGGUAAUCUUUUCUUAUGGAGAUUGGACCUGGCAGCCACGUUAAAAUGUGACACUCGUUAUACAAAAAAUUCGAUCAUACUCGCACUCACGUUGUUACAGGUUGGAAGUCUGUACAGUAAUAACUUGUUUGUACGAGACAAGCGUGAGAGAGAGGGAAGAUCGAUGAGGCCCUUUCUAAAUGCUCCUGUAGAUGAUUCCUUUUUUUGUCUCUGGGUGUUUGUUGUUACACUUGCAAUGUUCUACCUUGUUCCAUCUUCCAUGCAAAGAAGAUCAACAAUUUGACAUCAUAUGAUUUGCCGUGCUAACAUGUAAAGCCCAGGGUGAAUUGAUUCUUUCCACCUCUGAACUUUGGAGUUGCUGUGGUUGAAGAGAAAGAUUGUUUGCGAGAAGAGUUCAUUCAUUAAGAAAAGGGCCACAGUCCAAGUUUGCAAACCAAAGUGCAAGUUUCAAAUCCAUCAAAAAAAAAAAAAAAGAGAAAAAAUCCCUAAGCUUCUGUUUAAAGUCGGGAUAUUUUAUUCACCUCGUAAAGACAAAGCUGCCCCCCCAUCUACGUGAUGGGCUGAAAAGCUCAACUCUUUAUUAUUCUUUUGAAUAAUGUUUUCAUUCUUGAAUCUAGAGUCUUUUAUUUUGUAU